rnacentral:lncRNA from 1 species
GUUGCAUCACCCUGGGUCUCAGAAGUUGUGUGUAGCCACUGACCAGGAGCUGCCUGCCUGCGGGGCAGCCUGGGGUGGAGUACCCCGGCUGGGUAGCAUCUACCCUACCCCUUAACUUUAUCCUAAAAAAGACCCAUUCCCUUCCCCUCUUCUCCCCCAGAUGACCGAAACCUAAUUGUGUGCUGCCACAUAGGGCCCCGGGUCAGAGCAUGAGUGCCUCGGGACUGGCCAUCAGACUUGGGGAGAAACCACUUCUCGGUAGCGGUGGAGACGAGCGCCUGUGUCAUGAGGUUCUCGGGUUCCUGAGUUCCGAGUACUGUGCUUUGAACUGGGGAUCAGAGUGCCAUAAUCUUGGAGUCCUGCAGACUGGAUCUCCUAAGGCUAAUCACCUGCAUGAACUGCUCUGUGGAAUUUAUUUGCCCUCCCACCCAUCUGGCCUUUCCAAGAGCUGAUAGCACCGUGGGACAGGUCAGGUGAGUGAACUUAGGAAACGAUUUGCCCCUAUAGUCACCAUGUUCCUCAGGGAAGAACACGUCUUCCAGCGGGCCCCUACCCCCAGUCUUUGGAAAUGACCAUCCCUACCCGUAAGUGAUGCCGUGACCCUUCCUUACUCGUUCAUUGAGAUACUUGCCAAGUGCCUCCUGUGUGUCAGACACUGGGAUAUGACACGCCAGUAUGUAAUUUCUUUCACUUAGUGUAUGGUAAGCCCAGUGGGGAAGUAGUAUCUGCCUGCUUUACCGCUGGGAAGGGCAGGGCUGGGGCCACCGGGGGCUUUGGGCAUGCUCUUUGGAGACCAUGUCCUGUCCUGGUGUGGGUUCUGGACCCUGUGCUUCCUGCUUCCUCUCCCAAGAACCCUGCACCCUUAAGCAAGUCGGGUCACCUCUCAGAGUCCACAUCCCCAUCUGUGCAUAAAAUGAUGCCUAACAGGGCCUGGCAUGGAACAAGAGGGGAAUAAGUGUAACAAAUGAUCGCAGGUCUGGUGGUUUUACAACAGCACAAUACAAAUUUAUUGCCUCACAGUCAUGGAGGCCAGAAGCCUGAAAUCAAGUUGUGGGCACCAACAGGGUCUGGCUCCAUUUAGAGGCUC